CACAGGUGAAAGGUUGAUAACUUUACCGUUGGACAUAUGAUGAUCCCUUCUGUGUCAGUGUAACUGUGGGUCAGAGAACCGUCCCUGUAUUUGCAUGGAAGUGUAGCACUCCUUGUGUUCCUAGGAUGGGGGGGGGGCACUAUGCAUGUGCCUGAAAGCAGCCAGCAGCCAGACCAGUGGGCUGCAGGGAUCUGUGGCCCAGUGAUAUGUGUGCCACAUUGUCUGUUCAAUAGAGGCCUUUGAAUUUUUAAACAGCAUCAGUUACUUCAUACUGUCAUUGUUUUGGCACCAUUUGCCUUGCUUAAUCCUGUUUCAGAUGAUGUCCAGUACGCCACGGCUGCUCCAGCCAAUAAACAAGGUGACUAACAAUGGAAGAGGGCCGGGAAUGAAGAGAGGGAGACAGGCUAACCACCACACCACACAGAUAGAAACAAGGGGGGAGAGGACAUUUUAUAGCUAGAACUUGCCUUUGUUUUAUGGCUACGUUGACACUCUUUUGAAAAAGUAUGUGCUUUACUGUGUGUUUACAGCAGUUUUUACUUGUCUGUAUUUAAUAAAUAUAUCCUUUCAAAUUGUUCUAAGAAUAUCAGAGAUGUAUUGAGGGAUGAAGCCCACUAAAUGUAAUUUUUUAAUUUGUUUAAUAAAGUUGAUGUCAGUUUAAUCAGGAAAGGAUCCUCUGUGGGAAAUUAUGAUGCGCACUAAUGCUUUUCUGAAAAUAUAUUAGAUUUUUGUUUGUGUUCCUGAUGAUUUGGAGGUAUUACUGUAAUCUGUAAACUUUUAUUUUACACAAAAUCCAAUAGGACUUUGGUAUUUUAUCUCCCUUUUCUCUGGCUUUCAAUUUGAAAUCAUGAUGUCGUUUAAGAUCAAAAUAAGCAGGUAUUUGUCCGUGAACAAUGCAACAGAGUAUAAUGUAUUAUUUGCUUUUAUCCUGUCCCACAAUAUGCUUUCAUAGAGUUACCAUGUUAGAAUUUAAAUAGUCAUUCUGGGACUGAAGGCAAGAAUACUAUUUAACAUUUUUGUAUAUUGCUGUCACUGGUGUGUCUCCCUGAGCAAAAUUAAUUAUCACCUUUGCCCCAAAGAAAAUGCAAUUAAAAAGUAGAGGUAAUGGUUUUUUCUCCAAAAGGAAACGGGACGAUAGUUUUGUCCCCAAUUCAUUGCUUUUUGAUAAUGUGUGUAUCAGACAAAUUGUUGUACUCUUCCAUAAAAUCUUUUUUUUUCCUUCA